UACGUAGGGGGCAAGCGUUGUCCGGAUUUAUUGGGCGUAAAGAGCUCGUAGGCGGUUUGUCGCGUCGGCUGUGAAAACUCGGGGCUCAACCCCGAGCCUGCAGUCGAUACGGGCAAACUCGAGUGCGGUAGGGGAGACUGGAAUUCCUGGUGUAGCGGUGAAAUGCGCAGAUAUCAGGAGGAACACCGGCGGCGAAGGCGGGUCUCUGGGCCGUAACUGACGCUGAGGAGCGAAAGCGUGGGGAGCGAACAGG
rnacentral:rRNA from 1 species